rnacentral:rRNA from 1 species
UACAGAGGGGGCAAGCGUUAUUCGGAAUUAUUGGGCGUAAAGGACGCGUAGGCGGCUUUGCAAGUGACGGGUGAAAUCCCGGGGCUCAACCUCGGAACUGCCUUUGAUACUGCAAAUCUCGAGUCCGGAAGAGGUGAGUGGAAUUCCUAGUGUAGAGGUGAAAUUCGUAGAUAUUAGGAAGAACACCAGUGGCGAAGGCGGCUCACUGGUCCGGUACUGACGCUGAGGUGCGAAAGCGUGGGGAGCAAACAGG